rnacentral:rRNA from 1 species
AUGAAGACCGUGAUGGUGGCAGUGGUGAAGCAGUCAGACUUGGAGGUGGUUGGAGAAAAGACCACCGUGUCCAUGUUUCGCUCCGGGGCUGAUGGCAUCCAUCAGCGGCGGGCUCCCUGUUCGGGUCAGAACUAUUUUGUGAUACUACAUGAUUCCUCUUAUGGUAACAGCAAGAAGGGAAGUGAUGAUGGUGAGUACAGUAUAUUUAUCCUUGACUCUGACAAUCAGCAAUUGUUAGAAAUGACAUUGGUGCAGCCGGUGACUACCAGGAUUAUCUUUUUCUCUGUUCAAAUUUGUCAUGAUGUCUACAUUCCGCCUCAACCGUUUGCAAUGGGUCAUCUCCAAGCGUGA